AUCCAGUUGACGAGUCCUAAAUAGGACGAAACACGUUUCUUCGAU
rnacentral:hammerhead_ribozyme from 1 species